ACAACAUUUCAUAAAUUUGAGAAUGCCACCCAAUGCAAUGCUUCAGUAGCUCUUCUUCUGGCCAUGAACAUUCUCUUCUUUUCUCUGGUAAGUUCCUGUGACAUGAGCCCUAGUCCCGAACCCGAACCAGCUCCAGCUCCAGCUCCGCUGGCUCUCAGGACCCGGCCCUUGGUAGGAAAAUGUCCCAAGGACGCCUUGAAAUUAGGUGUUUGUGCUGAUAUCCUCAAGCUAAUAAACGGCGUUGUGGUUGGAGCUCCACCAACACUCCCAUGCUGCAGCCUUCUUAAAGGCCUCGUCAACCUCGAGGCCGCGGUGUGCCUUUGCACUGCCAUAAGAGCCAACCUUCUGGGAAUCAAGCUCAACAUCCCUAUUGCACUCAGCUUAGUUCUUAACAACUGCGGCAAGCAAGUCCCCAAUGGCUACGAAUGUACAUAAUUAAAUUAUCGUUUUACAAGCAAAUAAAACGUGAUCCAAACACACAGUAGUCUGUAUUAUUUUAAGAUGAAAUAAAUAUUCACUAUUUCCAACUUGAGUAGAUAAAUAAUUCGGCAGAUGAUAAUGUUCGUUAUAAUCAGCUCGAAACAAAUUUGUCUCAGGGGAUUGUCAGAGCAUCUUCGAUAAGGGCGUUAACCAUAUAUAUCAAAAUAUACUUUUAUUAAUAAACAAAGUAUCGGAAUUAUCAAAUAUCAAAAUAUAAAACUUGGUACAUUAUAUGAAACAUCAAAAGUACCAGUAUCAAAAAAAAUUAUCAUCAUAUGAAUAUUUAAAAUAAUUUAUGAAAUUAUACUUCAUAUAUAGGAGCUGUGCCCAACUUAUAAUAAAUAGCUGAGGGGAUGGAGAGAGGAUUAAUCUUGAUGGUUCAGCCAGACUUUAGUCGGAAUGCCUCCUCUAUUUCCGCCCAACUUAAAAGCCAUAUAUAGAUUUUAUUUUAUUCUAUCAAUACUCCCCCUACUUUCAGUGUUUUAUGUAUUUCCAGUUUGCUUUGCUGCUUAUGUGGAAGGCAUAGUAAUCCUGGUAAGGAUUUCUGCUCACAAUACCCAAUGAACGAUUUUAUCUACAAUUGAAAAAAAAAAUGCAAACCAGAGACUAUGCGGCCGUUUGUUUAAAAGAAGCAAAAGUUACUUUUAGGUUCUGUUUUUUUUACCCGUUUGUGUAAAUAAGCAUAAACACCUUUAAAAAGUUGAGAAUGCUAGCUUUAGAGGGUGUUUGGUCCGGGCUUUUAAGCCCGGCUUUUAGAUUUAUAAGGUAGAAGCACUUAUUCGUACCUUUUGUGUAAAAAGUCAAGAAGUACUUAUAAAAAACUGAGAAUACUAGAUUUUGUUUCAUGGCUUCUACUUCUUUCCCAAACACUUUAAUCACUUAUAAGUUAACCUCCUUAUAACUUCUAUUUUACUUUUAAUUACUUUAAGCAAGAAGCACUUGUUUUAAACUCACCCAAACACCCCCAGCUUAGUUUCUCAGCUUCUACUUCUUUUCAAAAUAUUUUAUUAACUUACUUAUUUCUCACUUAUAAUUCACUUCUUUAUUUUAAACAAGAACUCAAUUUUUUUAAGUUGCUCAAACAAUCACUUAAAAUUCUUUUAGGUUUGCCCAAACAACAUCUGUUUUUCCUCUAAUUCAGUUCACGGGACAUCAAUUAUUGAUAUGUGUGACAAGAACAUGUCAAGUUGUUUAUGUAUUAUUCACUCAUAUAGCCUCCAAAAAUUUCUCUAUAUUUAAUGUGCAUGACAGCUCAAUUUCACAAACUUAUCACAGAAAACUCCUAUAAAUUCAGCACUAAUCACAAUCCUUUCCAUCACAACAUAAACACACUCUUCUAGGCAUUAACAAUACCCCUCAUUAGCCUUUCUGCAGUUUGAGAGAUGGGUUCCAAGAACAGUGCUUCAAUAGCUCUCUUUUUCACCCUCAACAUUCUCUUCUUUGCCUUGGUCAGUUCCACUGAAAAAUGCCCUGAUCCUUAUAAGCCUAAGCCCAAGCCCACUCCCAAGCCAACUCCCACUCCUUAUCCAUCUGCAGGAAAAUGCCCUAAGGAUGCCCUAAAAUUAGGUGUUUGUGCUGAUGUCCUCAACUUGGUGCACAAUGUUGUGAUUGGAUCUCCACCAACACUCCCAUGCUGCAGCCUUCUUGAAGGCCUCGUCAACCUCGAGGCCGCGGUAUGCCUUUGCACAGCCAUUAAAGCCAACGUUCUGGGGAUCCAUCUCAAUCUUCCUAUUGCCCUCAGCUUAGUUCUAAACAACUGCGGCAAGCAAGUCCCAAAUGGCUUCGAAUGUACCUAAAUUUCUAGUGUGACAGAAGGAUCCUGAUGUGCUUUCUGGGGAUUUUGUUCUUUGUGUUUUUGAUUUAUUGUAAAGUGUGCUGUUUUUUGAUUGCAGUAUUGUUGGCUUAACAAUAUAUUCAUUUAUUUUUCUUUUAUGAAGUGAUUUAAUGGAAAAAAUUGUUUUGAGUUCGGUCACCUUAGAUUAGUUUGUGGCUUAUGGCUUGGUCAUGAAUACUUUAAUACUCCUCCGUCCCACAAUACAAGUCUCUUUUGAAAAAAUUACGCAUGUUGCAUUGGAAACUAGAAGUGAACAAGUAUUAUGAGAAAAAAUUUCUUCUAAAAGAGACUAGUAUUGUGGGACGGAGGGAGUACAUGAGUGUCAGAGAGAGUAAACUUUUAAGCGUGGUUAAAAUUUUUCAAACUCCGAAAAAUUACGCAUGUUGCAUUGGAAACUAGAAGUGAACAAGUAUUAUGAGAAAAAAUUUCUUCUAAAAGAGACUAGUAUUGUGGGACGGAGGGAGUACAUGAGUGUCAGAGAGAGUAAACUUUUAAGCGUGGUUAAAAUUUUUCAAACUCCGUGAAAAAAGUCUGAAAGACUAGGUAUCUAAAUGGUGGUGAGUAGUGUGCUAAAUUUACAAAAUUGGGAAAGAAAUUUUUAUAUAAAAUGACAUGAUAUAAUUGAGGUGAUAUGUUUUAAUUCGUGUUAUUUAUGUGAAUAUCGGAUUCUAUUUCAAUCAAAAGUUAACAGGUUUCAUCUUUUAAAAGAUUUUGUACCCAUUUUUGUAUACGUAAUAUUUUUCUACUUUUUAAUAUUAAACCUAAUGGCUCAUCUUGCUAAUUGUCCGAAGACAUUUUCUUUUCUUCAACUAAUAUAAUUAAGAAAUUCGGGAAAAUAAUUUUAGUUCUUAUGAUACAAAUCUAAAAAUAUUAAAAAGAGAUCAUGCACUUGCGAUAUCUUAAAAUUAUAUUUUUCGCACAUGGACUAAAAUUCUAAAGUUAAAACUUAACGUACCAAAGUAGUGACUAACUCAAAUUUUAUUAUUUGAAUUUAAUGAUAUAAAAUAAGAAAAACUAUUAUUUUUUGGGCCCCUCUUGGAAAUAUUUAAAUUCCCCUAAAAUGAGUUUUUCUCGGGGAGGGUUUGUCGCCAGCAAUCCUGACUACCUUACAGACGACUAAUCAAAUAUAUCUGUACGCACCUAGUUCUCUAUUCGGUGUUAAUGAUGCCCGUGACAAUGCUAGAGUCAAGAAUGAAUACAGAAAUACCCUCAUAAACGGACCAGAUGAAUGUGGAUAAAUUACAAAUAAAAGAAUCCUGAAAUAUUUGUCAGGGGCAGUCUAAAAUAUAUGUCGGAAAAUAUAAUCAUAAUAACUAGCACAUCUAAAAUUUGAAGGUGUUAGAGGAAGGCUCAACAAGAUCUUAUGCUCUUUUCCUAGUGCAGCAUCGAUCAGUAGGACUAGGGGUCGUUUUUACUAAUUUAAACACCUAAAAAUGAAAGAAAUCUGAAAAAAUUUAACUUCUGACGGUAAGAUGAUGCAUGAAACAACAGAACGAAACAGAUGUAAACUAUAUAAUAUGGUUGAUUUCGGUUUGCUUGAUCCAUAUCAUACAAUUUUUUGAAAAAAAGCGAGAACUCACUACUAGAUAUAUUGCAUUAGACCUCGAUUAUUAAUCAAACGGAUGUCUUCGCAUGUGCAGAGAAAAGUAAGGGUAUAUGACAUCGGUUUUUAGCCGAUGUUAAAGGGGAAGGAACAUAGACAAGGGUUUGCUUAUGAAAACUGAUGUAUUUAACUCAUAUUUCUAAUUAUAUUGUAAAACUAAAUAUGAAAUCUUUCUACAUUAGUAGGUUAAGGAGCAUUAUAAACAUAUAUAAUACGGAAGAAUAUUAGACUCAUGCAUAGAUCAGAAUUGUUGUCAUUAUGAACAUGUCAAAACAUACUACAAACAAAGCUAUGUUAAAUCAUGAGAUAAAGAGCAAGCCAUGUUAAAAAACCAGGCUUUUACAUCAAUCGAGAACCUAACACUCUUAGAACUAUUUUCUCAAUGCCAAAUCCAAUCAAUAAUACCCCCCUUAUUAUUUCAUUAAGUACUUAUUCACUUCAAUAAGUUGUUUAUAAAUCAGACUAUGCUUCCUCUAUAUCAGUUCACGGGACAUCAAUUAUUGAUCAUAUGUGACAAGAACAUGCCAAGUUGUUCAUGUAUUAUUCACUCAUAUAGCCUCCAAAAAUAUCUCUUCAUUUAAUGUGCUUGACAGCUCAAUUUCACGAACUUAUCACACAGAAACCCCCUAUAAAUUCAUCACUAAUCACAAUCCUUUCCAUUACAACAUAAACACUCUUCUAAGCCUCUGAUCAACAAUAGUUCUCAUUAGUCUUUGAGUUUGAGAGAUGGGGUCCAAGAACAGUGCUUCAGUAGCUCUCUUUCUCACCCUUAACAUUCUCUUCUUUGCAUUGGUGAGUUCCACUGAAAAAUGCCCUGAUCCUUAUAAGCCUAAGCCCAAGCCCACUCCCAAACCAACUCCCACUCCUUAUCCAUCUGCAGGAAAAUGCCCUAGAGAUGCCCUAAAGUUAGGUGUCUGUGCUGAUGUCCUCAACUUGGUGCACAAUGUUGUGAUUGGAUCUCCACCAACACUCCCAUGCUGCAGCCUUCUUGAAGGCCUCGUCAACCUCGAGGCCGCGGUAUGCCUUUGCACUGCCAUUAAAGCUAACAUAUUGGGAAAGAACCUCAAUCUUCCUAUUGCCCUUAGCUUAGUUCUUAACAACUGCGGCAAGCAAGUUCCAAAUGGCUUCGAAUGUACCUAAAAUUUCUAGUGUGAGAGAAGGAUCAUGAUGUGCUUUCUGGAUUUUGUUCUUUGUGUUUUUGAUUAUUGUAAAGUGUGCUGUUUCUGAUUGCAGUAUUGUUGGCUUAACAAUAUAUUAA
rnacentral:lncRNA from 1 species